CGGCGGACGGGUUAGUAACGCGUGGGAACGUACCCAGAUCUAAGGAAUAGCCACUGGAAACGGUGAGUAAUACCUUAUACGCCCUUCGGGGGAAAGAUUUAUCGGAUUUGGAUCGGCCCGCGUUAGAUUAGAUAGUUGGUGGGGUAAUGGCCUACCAAGUCUACGAUCUAUAGCUGGUUUUAGAGGAUGAUCAGCAACACUGGGACUGAGACACGGCCCAGACUCCUACGGGAGGCAGCAGUGGGGAAUCUUGGACAAUGGGCGCAAGCCUGAUCCAGCCAUGCCGCGUGAGUGAUGAAGGCCUUAGGGUCGUAAAGCUCUUUCGCCAGAGAUGAUAAUGACAGUAUCUGGUAAAGAAACCCCGGCUAACUCCGUGCCAGCAGCCGCGGUAAUACGGAGGGGGUUAGCGUUGUUCGGAAUUACUGGGCGUAAAGCGUACGUAGGCGGAUUAGUCAGUCAGAGGUGAAAUCCCAGGGCUCAACCCUGGAACUGCCUUUGAUACUGCUAGUCUUGAGUUCGAGAGAGGUGAGUGGAAUUCCAAGUGUAGAGGUGAAAUUCGUAGAUAUUUGGAGGAACACCAGUGGCAAAGGCGGCUCACUGGCUCGAUACUGACGCUGAGGUACGAAAGUGUGGGGAGCAAACAGGAUUAGAUACCCUGGUAGUCCACACCG
rnacentral:rRNA from 1 species